AUACUUACCUGGAUAGGGUCCAUGACUGAUCAAGUAGAGUCAUCACCUAGACUAAUGACCUCUAUUGCAUUAUUAGAGGGGUGCUAGCUAAUGUAAGGUCUCCCUAAAUGGGAGAGCCUCUGUCAUAAUUUGUGACAGAGGGGUGUUUGAGUAGCGCUUGAGUUGUUU
rfam:Ipomoea nil DNA, scaffold: scaffold1262, cultivar: Tokyo-kokei standard.